UACGUAGGGUGCAAGCGUUAAUCGGAAUUACUGGGCGUAAAGCGUGCGCAGGCGGUUUUGUAAGUCUGUCGUGAAAGCCCCGGGCUCAACCUGGGAAUUGCGAUGGAGACUGCAAGGCUUGAAUCUGGCAGAGGGGGGUAGAAUUCCACGUGUAGCAGUGAGAUGCGUAGAGAUGUGGAGGAACACCGAUGGCGAAGGCAGCCCCCUGGGUCAAGAUUGACGCUCAUGCACGAAAGCGUGGGGAGCAAACAGG
rnacentral:rRNA from 1 species